rnacentral:rRNA from 1 species
AAGUCGAGCGGAAAGGCCUUCGGGGUACUCGAGCGGCGAACGGGUGAGGAACACGUGAGUAAUCUGCCCUGCGCUCUGGGAUAGCCACCGGAAACGGUGAUUAAUACCGGAUAGGACCACUUCACGCAUGUGAUGGUGGUGGAAAGUUUUUUCGGCGCAGGAUGUGCUCGCGGCCUAUCAGCUUGUUGGUGAGGUAACGGCUCACCAAGGCUUUGACGGGUAACCGGCCUGAGAGGGUGACCGGUCACACUGGGACUGAGACACGGCCCAGACUCCUACGGGAGGCAGCAGUGGGGAAUAUUGGACAAUGGGCGGAAGCCUGAUCCAGCAACGCCGCGUGAGGGAUGACGGCCUUCGGGUUGUAAACCUCUUUCAGUACCGACGAAGCGCAAGUGACGGUAGGUACAGAAGAAGGACCGGCCAACUACGUGCCAGCAGCCGCGGUAAUACGUAGGGUCCGAGCGUUGUCCGGAAUUAUUGGGCGUAAAGGGCUCGUAGGCGGUUUGUCGCGUCGGGAGUGAAAACACCGGGCUUAACUCGGUGCUUGCUUUCGAUACGGGCAGACUAGAGGUAUGCAGGGGAGAAUGGAAUUCCUGGUGUAGCGGUGAAAUGCGCAGAUAUCAGGAGGAACACCGGUGGCGAAGGCGGUUCUCUGGGCAUUACCUGACGCUGAGGAGCGAAAGUAUGGGGAGCGAACAGGAUUA